UUCGUUAUGAUCCAACUCUUACAUCCGCACAUGACGACUGGAAAAACCAUAGUUCGACUAUGCAGACCUUUGUUGGCGGAGUGAUGUCUCUGCUUUAUAAUACGCUGUCUGGGUUUGACAUAGGUUUUUUCCAAGGGGCAAGGGA